ACUAGACUGGACUGACAACACAAAUCCACUUUACAUGAAAGGCCACGGUAGACUCCACCUCCUGAGGAAACUGAGGUCCUUUGGGGUGCAGGGAGCUCUCCUGUGGUCCUUUUAUGACUCUGUGGUGGCCUCGUUCAUCUUCUAUGGACUGGUCUGCUGGAGCAUCACGGCUGCAGACAGGAACACACAGAACAAACUGGUGAGGAAGACUAGCUCUGUCUUGGGCCUCCCUCUGGCCCUGUUGAGGUGGUAGGGUAUAGGAGGAUUAUGGCUAAGCACUGCCUGCAGAACACUGUAACAGCACUGGACAGCUCUGUCAGAGACAGGCUUCUUCACCCGUGCUGUCCUCCCUUCCUGCUGCAGUGAGACGGUUUAACCAGGCCUGCUUCCAGUAGUCAAGGUUUUUUUUUCUUUUUUCUUUUUGCACAACUAAUGGACAAAAACUCAAUGCUACCCCAAUGUGCGAUAUUGGCAGGCUUGAUAUUUAUUACAACUGCAAACACCUUCAUUUUUCUCAGGUAUAAUUAGACAAAUAUAUGCAAAAACAUGUCGAGUUUUGUUUGUUGUUUGUUGUGUAGAACCAUUUUGUUUUUUGUUGGAUCUAACCUUUUUUUCUCUUCUUUUGUUUAUAAGAAGAGUAUGAUAAGAAGAAUAUGUCUAGGUCUAAGUUAACUUUUAGAAUUAUCUGAGC